rnacentral:rRNA from 1 species
UCCUACGGGGGGCAGCAGUGAGGAAUAUUGGUCAAUGGGCUUACGCCUGAACCAGCCAAGUCGCGUGAGGGAAGACUGCCCUAUGGGUUGUAAACCUCUUUUGUCAGGGAGCAAUUGGGUCCACGCGUGGGCUUAGCGAGAGUACCUGAAGAAAAAGCAUCGGCUAACUCCGUGCCAGCAGCCGCGGUAAUACGGAGGAUGCGAGCGUUAUCCGGAUUUAUUGGGUUUAAAGGGUGCGCAGGCGGAAUGUCAAGUCAGCGGUAAAAUUUCGGGGCUCAACCCCGUCGUGCCGUUGAAACUGGCGU